rnacentral:lncRNA from 1 species
GAUUUAGUCUAACAUUCUUAAGUGAUUAGAAAUUUUUGUAUAGUAUAGUAUUAUAUCAUUAAUACCCCAUAUAUAAUUAUAAUAAUAAGUUUAAAAUAGUCCAUUGUUUCAUAUAAAUUAAUGAGUUUUGAUUUUAAUUCCUGUAUUUUUUCUUUUAGUUUUUGUUUGAGUCUCUAUAUCUCAUUUUUUAUGUUGAUUUUAG